rnacentral:rRNA from 1 species
GACAGAGGUCCCGAGCGUUAGGCGGAAUCACUGGGCUUAAAAGCGUGUGUAGGCGGACUUCUAAGUACCUUGUGAAAUCCCACGGCUUAACCGUGGAACUGCUUGGUAUACUGGUUGUCUUGGGCCAUCUAGGGGCUACUGGAACAAACGGUGGAGCGGUGAAAUGCGUAGAUAUCGUGAGGAACACCAGAGGCGAAGGCGGCUACCUGGACAUUGCUGACGCUCAGGCACGGAAAGCGUGGGGAGCGAACGGGG